UACAGAGGUCCCAAGCGUUGUUCGGAUUCACUGGGCGUAAAGGGUGCGUAGGCGGUCGGGUAAGUCUGAUGUGAAAUCUCACAGCUUAACUGUGAAACUGCAUUGGAUACUAUUCGGCUUGAGAGUUGGAGGGGGGACUGGAAUUCUUGGUGUAGCGGUGAAAUGCGCAGAUAUCAGGAGGAACACCGGUGGCGAAGGCGGGUCUCUGGGCCGUAACUGACGCU
rnacentral:rRNA from 1 species